AACGAAGCUGCGGCCAACUCGUACGCGACCCGCACUGUUACGGCUGCGAAAUACUCUUUUUCAUACCUGUUUCGCCUGAUUUUUAGAUCGAGCAGAUUGAUUAGAUCGAGGCCGGGUACAAUCGAGAUUCUACUGAAUGCUCAAAAAUUAACUUAAAGCUGGACACACGCAAAGAUCGGCAAUAACAAUAUUUGACAAAGAGACAUGCCGAAAAGUCAGGAAAACAAGAUACACGAGCAGCUUUCUUUGGCGAACACACAUGCCAAGAAUAAGAUCAUACGGUUAGGUCCGGCGUUUCCGUUAACCGGACGGCGGCGGGUCGGUACGAAUUCUGCCGUGUUUGAAGGUAACGACAGGUGGAGGAAGGUGAAACCGAGAGGAAACAGGCUGUCAUGGCGGAGGAAGACUGCCAGGAGAGCGGAUGUCAUUUCGUGGUCGACUUAUUUCGUUGCCGAGAGGACAAGUCAUCUCUACUAUAAUCUGCAAAAUAUCGCCAGCUUAAAAUGAUUGUGAUGAGACACCUAUUAUAAUUCAAUGUGCGAAGAAUUAAACUCUGCAAUUUUC